rnacentral:lncRNA from 1 species
GAUUUAACAUUUUGGGAGGUCCGUCGGCGGCGGUAGAAGCGAUUGGUUGGGGCCUUUGCCGUUUUCCACCAAGAACGCCAUCUUCAAUCCCCACGUCGUAUGAAUUUCCAAAUGGCAAUGCAUAAACCACACUCCUGAAAGGUGAAAUCAUAAUUUAGAAAUUUCAUUUCAUUUUAAUGGUUUAAGAAUUUGAUCAAAUAAUCUCAAGAGGGAAUUCAAUCUCUUUUUACCUGGAUUGUCUGCACGAAAUCUUAUCGCUGUCCAUCCACCGGACGGAACUCCGAUUGUGUUCCUCUCUACUGGAUCCACGAGAUUGAAUUUCGUGGGGUCGGUUUUAGGGUUGAAAUUGCCGAUCCCUCGUCCGACUUCGAAGAAAUUGAACCCAUGGAGAUGGAUGGGGUGAUUUUCUGGGGCUAUGAUUCCUGUAUCUUGUAGAACUAGUUCCACUGUGGAGUUGUAUUGUAAUUUGUAGAGUUUGGUUGCACUUAUAGUCUGCAAAUUUUUAGGUCCAGGUCCUGAAUAGUUGAAUUUGUGAGGGGGGUUUCCUGGGAAAUCUGUGGUGAAAACGCCUUUAGUUUUGAAGAAAUGUGCUUGUAGGAGAGCGGUGGUGGGCAUUACAAAAGUUACGUUGUUGAUACUGGCUACUACUCUGCUUCCAUUGGCGGCCUUGCAAGUGGGACAUGGGUUAAUUCCUAGCCCAACGGUGAAGAAGAGAUGGUGGUCGAUUGUCAAUGGGACAUUGGCUGGGUACUUUUUGGAGUUCAAGCUUCUGAGGGAGUUUGUGAAGGCGUUGGCAAUUUGGGUUGCGUUCUGGGGUGGGGGGUUGGUGCUUGUUGUGAGGGAUGUGGCCAAUGUGCCAGUGUAGUGCACAGUGGCAGUUGCUGUCUUGUUAUCGACUGCCACUGGAGCGUCCAUGAAAGGAGAGACGGCCACCAUGUAUUUUCCAGAGUUUUGGUUGGCGGUUAAGAGGACGUUGGUGGUCUGGCCAGGAGCAAUUAGAACUGUGUCUGUUUUGAAUGGUUUAACAUACGUGGCGUCGACCUCUACAACUGUUAACUUGUGGCCUGCGACUUUGAAAAACAGUUCUUCAUUCAGUGCAGCGUUGAUUAUGCGUAGUAAAUAGGUUUUCCCUUUUUGAACCGGCAAUGUGAAGCCCCCUAAUUUCCAAAAAAAAAAAAAAAAAAAAAAAAGAAAAUUAGACGACCCAUUGGAACAGAAUAAAGUUUGUAUUGCUUCCCAAAAGGUUAGAUUUCUUAAUUCAAUUACUUUGUGAAGGGCAAUUUGAUAUGGAUCCGGGAAGGCCGUUGAUGGUGUGAGCAUCAGAGACAUUUGGAGCUAAUCCUGACUUAAGUGCUUCGUUGAUCACUGCUUCAGUGUCUGAUUUCCACCACUCGGCUGUACAAUGCAAAUCACCAUUUAUUCACAAAGCAAGUUAAAAUCAUCACCACUUUGAAGGCGGGAAAGAAUAAUUAGUGAACUUUUGAGGCUCAUACCAAGCACAAGAACAGUUUCUUUGUUGGGUGUAGGGAAUGGAUAAGGCACACCGAGCUUCGGCAAGAUGACGAGACCACCGUGGACAGUGGCUCUCAGCCAAAGAAUGUGAGCAUGCCAGAAGAGUGUGCCUCUUUGACCAGUGAUGGUGAAGUUGUACACAUAGCUCUGCCCCGGCUGGAUAGGACAUUGUGUAAUGUAUGCCGGACCAUCAGCCCAGCCUGUUCGGAGUUGCCUGAUUCCAUGCCUACCACCACGUCAUGCACUCAUUAGAUUGUGAGUUUUGAAACACUUUAAAGUUCAAAAGAAUUUGAUUGUGUGCGUAUUUACCAGUGAAUGGAAAGAUUAUAUUUGACAUGGUUGACAACUUUGAUAAGCACAUUGUCGCCCUCCCUAGCGUAAACAGUUGGACCGGGGAACUGACCAUUGACGGUGACAAUGGGCUUGCUUGAGCAAAGUCUGGUUGCUUUUCUCAACACCACCUGCCAACGAAUAUAGAUCAAUAUCACUCAUUAAAAUCAAACCAAACCAAUAAUGGAUUCGGUGGUCCAAGCCAUGAAAGUAAUAGGUCAUUCAAAAGCUCUCUUUCUAAAGAAAAGGAAAGCUAGCUACGAGACACCAAAAGAAGCCUAUUAUUGGAAAUCCUUUGUUUUUUUUUUUUUUAUUUCCUUUUAACAUUUGUUUAAUAAAGAAACAUAUACAACUAACAUUUUUGCAGAGAGUUAAAGAAACUCACAUUGAAUUUGUAAUGGCGAACUGUGGACUCUGCCAAACCAGAAAGAAGGCAGCAAAAUGCCAACAAAACAAAAGCUCGAACACCCGAAGACCCCAUUGGUAUCUUUUCUUUCCUUUUUUGGGGUUUCUGAGUUAUUUUGAUGUGUGAGAAAUGAAGAUGAUGGGUGAGAAUUGAUGGCCAUGCAACUCAUCCUUAUAAAGAGAAACACCAAAUGGGUUAAAUGGCUGAUUAAGCUCUCUGUGUUGUUGCCAUGUCGUCUUUUCUUAGUUAGGUGAUGAGUUAAACAAGGCUUCGUACUAAAGGAUUUUCAGAUGAAACCAGAAUCAGAUCCGCCAUUUUCUUUUAUAUAUCUUACAUUUUACAUAAAGUUUAUGUUUUUCAUUUCUUUUAAUUUUAUUUUUCCCUCAACCCUUC